rnacentral:rRNA from 1 species
GACAUAGGGUGCAAACGUUGUUCGGAAUUACUGGGCGUAAAGCGCGUGUAGGCGGUUGGGUAAGUCGGAUGUGAAAGCCCCGGGCUCAACCCGGGAAGUGCAUUCGAUACUACUUGGCUAGAGUACUGGAGAGGAUGGUGGAACUCUCGGUGUAGAGGUGAAAUUCGUAGAUAUCGAGAAGAACACCGGCGGCGAAGGCGGCCAUCUGGACAGAUACUGACGCUGAGGUGCGAAAGCGUGGGGAGCAAACAGG